rnacentral:rRNA from 1 species
GACGAACGCUGGCGGCGUGCCUAAUACAUGUAAGUAGAACGCUGAAGAGAGGAGCUUGCUCUUCUUGGAUGAGUUGCGAACGGGUGAGUAACGCGUAGGUAACCUGCCUUGUAGCGGGGGAUAACUAUUGGAAACGAUAGCUAAUACCGCAUAACAAUGGAUGACACAUGUCACUUAUUUGAAAGGGGCAAUUGCUCCACUACAAGAUGGACCUGCGUUGUAUUAGCUAGUAGGUGAGGUAAUGGCUCACCUAGGCGACGAUACAUAGCCGACCUGAGAGGGUGAUCGGCCACACUGGGACUGAGACACGGCCCAGACUCCUACGGGAGGCAGCAGUAGGGAAUCUUCGGCAAUGGGGGCAACCCUGACCGAGCAACGCCGCGUGAGUGAAGAAGGUUUUCGGAUCGUAAAGCUCUGUUGUAAGUCAAGAACGGGUGUGAGAGUGGAAAGUUCACACUGUGACGGUAGCUUACCAGAAAGGGACGGCUAACUACGUG